rnacentral:rRNA from 1 species
CCUACGGGUGGCAGCAGUGAGGAAUCUUGGACAAUGGGGGAAACCCUGAUCCAGCGACGCCGCGUGAAGGAUGAAGGUCUUCGGAUUGUAAACUUCUUUUCUUUGGGACUAAUAAGAGGAUUAAUAAGCCACGGCUAACUUCGUGCCAGCAGCCGCGGUAAUACGAAGGUGGCGAGCGUUACUCGGAAUUACUAGGCGUAAAGGGCAGGUAGGUGGUUUGAUAAGUCUGUUGUGUAAGCUCCCGGCUCAACUGGGAGAGGUCAAUAGAAACUGUCAGGCUUGAGUAUAGGAGAGGGUACUGGAAUUCCCGGUGUAGCGGUGAAAUGCGCAGAGAUCGGGAGGAACACCAAAGGCGAAAGCAGGUACCUGGACUAUACUGACACUCAGCUGCGAAAGCUAGGGGAGCAAACAGGAUUAGAUACCCUGGUAGUC